GGGAAUCUUUGAUGAGAGCCGAAUGGUUUUUCGGGAUAACUCAUUCGGCUAUUGCGAUCCUCGUUUCGUCUGUUAUAAUAAUCAUUUAAGACCUUUUGCAUUACUAGGUGUCUUUUGUCUUUUACGGAAUCAAUCUCCUAUUCGGAAUCAUUGGAACCUUCUUCUGAACCAUCUUUCGAGUUUUUCUCCGCCUGGGGUAUGUCUGCCCACUCAUCGAGAAAUGCCAUGAAUUCUUUCCUUUUCCCGUACAACUUCUUUUCAUGGAUAAUCGCCUCCCAGUCUCGCCUUGUCAUUUCGGCCUUAUAUCGUAUGCAUAGCCGUAAUAUCCUCUUGGUGUAAACGAUAUCGUCCUCCGUCUUCCUAUCCACAGAAGCUUUCCUCUUAAUAUCCACCAUGUUAACCUGCGAAGGAAAUGGAUUUUUAUUAACUUCCAUAGUUUUAUUUUUCUGGUCGGCAAAUAUGAGCCGACCUUCAUUUAUUUUCUUUUGAAUUUGCCUUUUAAAGGUAGUACAAUCGUUCGUCCUAUGGCUCCAUGAAUGGUGCUAUUUACAAUAUCUUCUUCUUUUUAAUUCUUCUCCAGGGGGUAUCGUUUGACCCUCUUGGAGUUGAAUUCUUUCAUCUUUUAAUAACCGAUCAAAAAUUAAAUCGGUUUUCGAGACAUCAAAAGAAUAAGUGUAUGUCGACACUCGUGCUUUCACUUUGCUAGUUUUGGCUGGCCUGAGCAAGGCGCAUUUAUAUAGCUAACGAUUUUUUACUAUCUCGGCAGCGUAUAUUUCGGCUUCAUCAGCUGAAUCCUCUGUUUCAUCAGACUCAUUCGGCUCAUCUUGAGCCGAGGAUUCUUCAACAAAGGAGAUAUUUUUCUCCUUUCCUUUCCCUUAUUCCAAUCUUUAUUUCCGCUCCACCUAGGCCGAUCUUCAUUAUUCUCUUUUCUAAAUUGCCCGUAUUGAGCAACUCGAACUCCCAAAUCAAAUAGAUUUAGAAAGUAUUUAUCCUCAAAAUGGUCUUUAAUCUUAAAAUGUAGAUCAUUGAAUGCCAUCUUGGCAAAUUCUGACUCUGGCAUUCUAACAAACAAAGGCUCCUUGCCGUUUUAAAUCAGUUUAAAUAUUUUUCAACCGAUUCUCCUGACUUUUGUCGAAACUGAGCUAGAUCAACAACUGAAAGCUCUUGUUCUGAUCUAUAAAAUUGUUCAUGAAACUUUCUUUCCAAUUCGUCCCAAUCUCAGACGAAAUUGGCUGGUAGACUCGUAUACCAAGUAAAUAUAAUCUUGGUUAACGAAGUGUUAAAUAAUCUGAGUUUUAGAAAUGGAUCUGCUGCGGUCUCUCUACAUUGGGCCGUAAAUCGUGUGACAUGUUUAAUAGUAUUUUCGGUUUCGUUGCCGAAAAAUUUAUCAAACUUCAGCAUUUUCCAAUGUGCCGGGUAAGAAUGUUCUGCA
rnacentral:lncRNA from 1 species